GGGCCCGCACAAGCGGUGGAGCAUGUGGUUUAAUUCGAUGAUACGCGAGGAACCUUACCAGGGCUUAAAUGUUAGGUGACAGAUCUAGAAAUAGAUUUUUCUUCGGACACUUAACAAGGUGCUGCAUGGUUGUCGUCAGCUCGUGCCGUGAGGUGUCAGGUUAAGUCCUAUAACGAGCGCAACCCCUAUCGUUAGUUGCCAACAGGUUAAGCUGGGAACUCUAACGAGACUGCCGGUGCAAACCGCGAGGAAGGUGGGGAUGACGUCAAAUCAUCACGGCCCUUACGUCCUGGGCUACACACGUGCUACAAUGGCCGGUACAGAGAGCAGCCACUCCGCGAGGAGGAGCGAAUCUAUAAAACCGGUCUCAGUUCGGAUCGCAGUCUGCAACUCGACUGCGUGAAGCUGGAAUCGCUAGUAAUCG
rnacentral:rRNA from 1 species